AAGGUCCAGUAGGGAUUUAUGUGGUUACUGUUCUCUUGCUAGGACACGGGGUGAACAAUAAUAUUCCUUUUAAGGUACAAAUUCUUGCUUGGGGGCUACAAAAAGCGUCACACUAGGGAGUGGGAAGAGUGGCCUGUGAGCCAGAG
rfam:Camelus ferus unplaced genomic scaffold scaffold1687, whole genome shotgun sequence.